rnacentral:rRNA from 1 species
GACGAACGCUGGCGGCGUGCCUAAUACAUGCAAGUAGAACGCACAGUUUAUACCGUAGCUUGCUACGCCAUAGACUGUGAGUUGCGAACGGGUGAGUAACGCGUAGGUAACCUGCCUGGUAGCGGGGGAUAACUAUUGGAAACGAUAGCUAAUACCGCAUAAUAUUAAUUAUUGCAUGAUAAUUAAUUGAAAGGUGCAAUUGCACCACUACCAGAUGGACCUGCGUUGUAUUAGCUAGUAGGUGAGGUAACGGCUCACCUAGGCGAGGAUACAUAGCCGACCUGGGAGGGUGAGCGGCCACACUGGGACUGAGACACGGCCCAGGCUCCUACGGGAGGCAGCAGUAGGGAAUCUUCGGCAAUGGGCGAAAGUCUGACCGAGCAACGCCGCGUGAGUGAAGAAGGUUUUCGGAUCGUAAAGCUCUGUUGUAAGAGAAGAACGGGUGUGAGAGUGGAAAGUUCACACUGUGACGGUAUCUUACCAGAAAGGGACGGCUAACUACGUG